rnacentral:rRNA from 1 species
AUGACAGCUAUUAGAUCUCUAGCAUGGAAGAUCGGCGGCCGCGCACUACAGCGAUCGCCGGUCAUCUGUCCUGCUGUGAAGGUGGAACACGAGCUGCUCCUCCGUAUGCCUCCACAUGUUGUCAAAUCUCGCCUAUUUAGCUCCGGUGGUUCCGACACAGGCGAACCCUUAUGUAAGAAUUGUUUACACUCUUUCACAGGGCCUGCUGCGGAUGCUAGGUCCCAUCUUAAUAAUCUAGGACCCAAGGGUCUUAGAGAGGAAGUGGAGAAGAAGAAAAAAGAUCUGCUAUAUGCACUACUGAAGAUGGAUUCCUGCACCAAUUUGAGUGCAUUUCAGGGUGAAAAUAGAGAGGAGCUGGGCGUCCUGCUCCCACUGCUCCAACCCAAGACGCAACAACCCAGGCUUGAAGAGUUACUUGAUCGACCAAUGAAGUUCUGCAUCUUCGUGAUUUGCGCAGCACCUAUUGUGGCCGUUCUUUGUGUUUACAGAAACAGUACUCGCCCGUUUGCAAUAGAUGAAGAGUAA